GCUCCUGUGGUGUACAAAGGUAAUACAUUCACUUUUGGUGAAAGUACCAGGUUCGAGUCCUGGCAGGGGCU